CGCACGCACCGCCUUGUUAGUGUGUCACUGCUUUGUACGAAUAUGUAUUGUAUUUUGUACUGUAAGUGAAAUCGGAAAUACCGUUUUAACGUUACGUAGUUGCUUUUUAGAGCUCGACCUGUACUUGUCGAAAUCUCGGAGUUAUUGGUAAAGACUGAUUGCUGUCUGGUGACAAUCAUAAUUCGAAACUCCAGAAUCCCAAAGAAUAUACAAUGGACACCAAAGCGGCUAUCUUGAUGGUGGUUGUGCUGCUCGCCGUAACCUCAGCCUCGCCGUUGCGUGGGUCCAACAGAAUGGCCUGUAGACAGCAGUGCAUGGAGACCUUUCAUUUGUGUAUUAGUCCUUGUCGAAAGUCGCCAAUGCAUAUGCCGCAAAAUUGCGAGGGUAGGGUUUGCCACGAGGAAAUGGGGCUGUGUCUUCGCAGCGUGUGUCACCUUAAAUGGCAUUCGGGUGUUUAACAUUAUGUAAUCCGCCAUUAUGAAAACUUUACAGAGGAAAAAAUGCUGAACGAUGCUUCAUAUUAAACUAUGUAUUUGCUACUCGUGAUGAUAUUUAAAAUAUGUAUCUUCUACGAAAUUCAAUUUUCUAACAAUUUAUACUAUAUCUUUGAUUUUUGUCAAACAUAUUUUAAACUCAAUAAACAAAAGCUUAAUUUUA